GACGAACGCUGGCGGCGUGCUUAACACAUGCAAGUCGAACGGAAAGGCCCUGCUUGCAGGGUACUCGAGUGGCGAACGGGUGAGUAACACGUGGGUGAUCUGCCCUGCACUUCGGGAUAAGCCUGGGAAACUGGGUCUAAUACCGGAUAGGAGCCAUUUUUAGUGUGAUGGUUGGAAAGUUUUUUCGGUGUAGGAUGAGCUCGCGGCCUAUCAGCUUGUUGGUGGGGUAAUGGCCUACCAAGGCGGCGACGGGUAGCCGGCCUGAGAGGGUGGACGGCCACAUUGGGACUGAGAUACGGCCCAGAAUCCUACGGGAGGCAGCAGUGGGGAAUAUUGCACAAUGGGCGCAAGCCUGAUGCAGCGACGCCGCGUGGGGGAUGACGGCCUUCGGGUUGUAAACUCAUUUCGCUAGGGACGAAGCUUUUUGUGACGGUACCUAGAUAAGAAGCACCGGCUAACUACGUG
rnacentral:rRNA from 1 species